GUGGUGAAAGAUGAAGUGGGAAAGAAAGGCCUCUCUGCUAGUCUGAGAACCUUAUGAUCACCUCUGCUUCUUUAUGCACUGCCUACCUCUCUAAACAGACCGCAUGGGCCUUGAGGGGCGGGACUGUGUUGCUGCUGCUGCCUUGUCACUGUCUCAUAGCUCCAGGCUCAGCGCUGUAGGGGCAGUAGCCAAAGGAAGAGCCCAGGCCUGGCUGGGCUAGCAGGCAGGUCCUCCUGGAGCCAAAACAGAUCCUCCCACGUGAAGUUUGAAAGGAAGCAUCUUGCAGCUCCGUCUAAUUACAGGGUGACAAAACUGAGGCUCAGAGGCCAAUGGCCUUGUUCAAGGUCACACGCCCACUAAAUGAGAGACCCGGAGACCUGGCAUCACACGUACCAAAAAUUAAAAGCAAAGAUGCUUAAAUCAACUGCAGUCCUUCUGGGCAGAUGUUCCUAAAUGCAAUCCAUCUAAGAGGAAAGAGUUUUUGAGGGAAGGGUGAUCACUGGGCCUCUACAUGCCACACCCGGAAGGCCCAGCAGUGGGGCAAGGAUAGAACACACAGUUUGGCGAUGUGACCCUGCCUGUCUGCACACCUCAGGAUCCCACCACCCAACAGGCAUACAUCUCCUGGAGCUACAGAGAUGCCAAAUGCCAGAGAAGGGAAGCAGGAAGGGAGAUGAAGACAAGGAACUCUGAAAAAUGGAAGCAGAAACACAGGCUGUAUUUUCCCCUAUCCUUCUUUUCUUUGUUCCCUUUUUUCUCUUUUGAAUGAAAAAUAAAAAUGCAGAAAACCUCAGGA
rnacentral:lncRNA from 1 species